GAAAAUCUAGAAACUAUCGUUGGAUACAAAAAUGGAUGCCUGAGAUUUGUCCAUGUCACCAAGAGUAAAACUUUUACUCCCAUAUUCAACCAUGAGUAGGAGUAAAAUUUUUACUCUCAGUGAUGUGGAUAAAUGUCAGACAUUCAAUUUUAGAUUCAACGGUAGUUUUCAGGUUUCC
rnacentral:pre_miRNA from 1 species